UACGUAGGUGGCGAGCGUUGUCCGGAUUUACUGGGCGUAAAGAGCGCGCAGGCGGCUGGUCAAGUCCGAUGUGAAAGCUCCCGGCUUAACUGGGAAAUUGCAUCGGAAACUGAUCGGCUGGAAGGUGGGAGAGGGUAGCGGAAUUCCCGGUGUAGUGGUGAAAUGCGUAGAUAUCGGGAGGAACACCGGUGGCGAAGGCGACAUCCUGGACCGGUAUUGACGCUGAGGCGCGAAAGCCAGGGGAGCAAACGGG
rnacentral:rRNA from 1 species